rnacentral:miRNA from 1 species
GUAUAUAUGUAUACAUUUAUAUACAUAUUGUAUAUGUAUAUAUGUGCAUAUAUAUACAUACAUAUAUGCACACAUAUAUGUAUAUAUACACACACACAGAUAUAUAUGUACAUAUAUAUAUACA